rnacentral:lncRNA from 1 species
ACUUUAAAUGUAAUUAUCCAAAGUAUGGUUCCGGAGACAUUGGGAGAUUGAGCACUCCUUCAGAACGAUUCUACGGGGAAAAAAAACAAAAAACAAAAAACAAAAAAACAGUGGCCAGAGACUUGAGCAGGAUGUGUGAAGGGAUUUAAUAAUGGAACUUGUGGCAACAGUAGACUUCAGAGACCAGACUGGCGGCUUGAAGAAAGCUAUUUUCUCGUACCAAAUACAUUCCAUUUCCUAAAUGGAAUGUCAGUAUUGCAACUGUGAUGCCUUUAUAUCAUGUGAGAAGAACAAUAGAGUCCUGGGAGGCAAGUGCAGAUGACCCCAAGGUCCUUGUGGACAAGGAAGUAAAAGCUAAGAAGAAAUGGCACGUUUCUUAGGAAACAUUUCAAUAUUGUUAUUUAUACAAGGAUGCAGAGAACAGUACAGCUGGAGAAUUAAAUGGAGAGAUCAGCGCACAGAUGGGCCCCAGGUACUGAAGAUAAGAAUAUAGAGAAGUUUUUCUUCUGACAGACUUGCUGGAAGCCAGGUGGCUAUCGCUGGUAACAAUCCAGGAAGCUAACGGAUAACUUCUGUAACAACUGGACCCACACGGCCAGGACUUGAUUAAUGACUGACAUCUACCCUAAUUUUUGUGCCUACAUCCAAUUUAAGACCAAACAGAGAAAACGAAACACGCACCCCUAACCGAUCAUGCAGAAUGCCCCUACUUCUGUUUAGCCCGCCUACAGCUUCCCCAUGGCAAUAGCCUCCAAUCAGGAUACACCUGAACCCUUCCCUCCCCACCCACUGCCCUGCUAUAAAGCUUUCUCAUUUCUCUGCCUUUGAAUCACUGCCAAAACACAGCGACAGUAGCUAACUCCCUUGUUGUAUAGCAGGCUGUGAAAAAAUAGCACUUGCAUUUCUCAUUUGA